CUCUUAUCCAGAGAGGCGGAGGGACUGGCCCUAUGAAGCCCGGCAACCAGCAUUAUGCAUGGUGCCAAUUCCAGCGGUAGGAAUACCGGGAGAUGAGAG
rnacentral:ncRNA from 1 species